AGAUUAUGGACGGGUUGAGUGAAGGUGAGCCGUCAGGAAGACACUAAUAGGAUAGGUUGUUAUAGGCCUGUUAGGUUAAGUCAUAUCAGGAGGAGAACCAGGGUAGAAGUUAGGAGUGGGGCUCUUGGCUGGCAUUGUUUACAUUGUAAUUUCUUGAUUCACGUUGCUAAGCACAGGUUUUAGAGGAUUAUCGUGAGUA
rnacentral:lncRNA from 1 species